CCUACGGGAGGCAGCAGUGGGGAAUUUUGGACAAUGGGCGCAAGCCUGAUCCAGCAAUGCCGCGUGCAGGAUGAAGGCCUUCGGGUUGUAAACUGCUUUUGUACGGAACGAAACGGUCUGCUUUAAUACAGUGGGCUAAUGACGGUACCGUAAGAAUAAGCACCGGCUAACUACGUGCCAGCAGCCGCGGUAAUACGUAGGGUGCGAGCGUUAAUCGGAAUUACUGGGCGUAAAGCGUGCGCAGGCGGUUAUAUAAGACAGAUGUGAAAUCCCCGGGCUCAACCUGGGACCUGCAUUUGUGACUGUAUAGCUAGAGUACGGUAGAGGGGGAUGGAAUUCCGCGUGUAGCAGUGAAAUGCGUAGAUAUGCGGAGGAACACCGAUGGCGAAGGCAAUCCCCUGGACCUGUACUGACGCUCAUGCACGAAAGCGUGGGGAGCAAACAGGAUUAGAUACCCUGGUAGUCCACGCCCUAAACGAUGUCAACUGGUUGUUGGGUCUUCACUGACUCAGUAACGAAGCUAACGCGUGAAGUUGACCGCCUGGGGAGUCGGCCGCAAGGUUGAAACUUAAGGAAUUGACGGCUGAGAGAGCGAGGACGACGACGAGGGAGGAGG
rnacentral:rRNA from 1 species